rnacentral:lncRNA from 1 species
AUGCUGUUCUGUUCUGUGUUCCUGGACACCUCUGUUCUGUGUUCCUGGACACCUCUGUUCUGUGUUCCUGGACACCUCUGUUCUGUGUUCCUGGACACCACUGUUCUGUUCUGUGUUCCUGGACACCACUGUUCUGUGUUCCUGGACACCUCUGUUCUGUGUUCCUGGACACCACUGUUCUGUGUUCCUGGACACCACUGUUCUGUGUUCCUGGACACCACUGUUCUGUGUUCCUGGACACCACUGUUCUGUGUUCCUGGAAACGUCUGUUCUGUGUUCCUGGACACCUCUGUUCUGUGUUCCUGGACACCACUGUUCUGUGUUCCUGGACACCACUGUUCUGUGUUCCUGGACACCACUGUUCUGUGUUCCUGGACACCACUGUUCUGUGUUGCUGGACACCACUGUUCUGUGUUCCUGGACACCACUGUUCUGUGUUGCUGGACACCACUGUUCUGUGUUGCUGGACACCACUGUUCUGUGUUGCUGGACACCACUGUUCUGUGUUGCUGGACACCACUGUUCUGUGUUCCUGGACACCACUGUUCUGUGUUGCUGGACACCACUGUUCUGUGUUGCUGGACACCUCUGUUCUGUUCUGUGUUCCUGGACACCACUGUUCUGUGUUGCUGGACACCACUGUUCUGUGUUGCUGAACACCUCUGUUCUGUGUUCCUGGACACUUCUGUUCUAUAUUCCUGGACACCACUGUUCUGUUCUGUGUUCCUGGACACCACUGUUCUGUGUUCCAGGACACCACUGUUCUGUUCUGUGUUCCAGGACACCACUGUUCUGUUCUGUGUUCCAGGACACCACUGUUCUGUGUUCCAGGACACCACUGUUCUGUUCUGUGUUCCAGGACACCACUGUUCUGUUCUGUGUUCCUGGACACCACUGUUCUGUUCUGUGUUCCAGGACACCACUGUUCUGUGUUCCUGGACACCUCUCUUCUGUUCUGUGUUCCAGGACACCACUGUUCUGUUCUGUGUUCCAGGACACCACUGUUCUGUUCUGUGUUCCUGGACACCACUGUUCUGUGUUCCUGGACACCUCUCUUCUGUUCUGUGUUGCUGGACACUACUGUUCUGUGUUCCUGAACACCACUGUUCUGUGUUCCUGGACACCACUGUUAUGUGUUCCAGGACACCACUGUUCUGUUCUGUGUUCCAGGACACCACUGUUCUGUUCUGUGUUCCUGGACACCAAUGUUCUGUGUUCCUGGACACCACUGUUCUGUGUUCCUGGACACCACUGUUCUGUUCUGUGUUCGUGGACACCACUGUUCUGUUCUGUGUUCCAGGACACCACUGUUCUGUUCUGUGUUCCUGGACACCAAUGUUCUGUGUUCCAGGACACCACUGUUCUGUGUUCCAGGACACCAAUGUUCUGUGUUCCUGGACACUAAUGUUCUGUUCUGUGUUCCUGGACACCAAUGUUCUGUGUUCCAGGACACCACUGUUCUGUUCUGUGUUCCUGGGCACCACUGUUCUGUGUUCCUGGACACCAAUGUUCUGUGUUCCAGGACACCUCUGUUCUGUUCUGUGUUCCAGGACACCACUGUUCUGUGUUCCUGGACACCACUGUUCUGUGUUCCUGGACACCACUGUUCUGUGUUCCAGGACACUAAUGUUCUGUUCUGUGUUCCUGGACACUAAUGUUCUGUUCUGUGUUCCAGGACACCAAUGUUCUGUGUUCCUGGACACUAAUGUUCUAUAG